UUCAUACUACAGACCAAAAGCAUCAUCUCCUGCAGGGGAAACAUGGGCUGUUCUUCUUCUAUCAUCAUUUGGCCUGCCCCACUUCCCCACCUGCUCUCAAGGGAAAUACUGCAAAGACACAUAGAAAGCCACAACAUUAGUCAUAGAUCAAGGCCUUUAUCAUACAAGGAGUGUCCCCAAAUCACAAACAGGCAAACCAAAGUGACUCUGGCAAAUUAUGCAGUUUAUUUUGUUUUUCUGUGCCAGUUAUCAGACUGCUCUAUGAUGAAAAUGAACAAACACAGGGCAAAUUCUGUCUGGGGUAUGGAGUCUUGCCAAUGUUUUCCAAGUAGAAACCCUUACAAAUUCAGAUCUCCGGGGCCCAGGCUGGACAGAGCUGUAAGCCCUUCCAUCAAACUUUGAUUGUAGCAGUGCUCUUCUCUAACAACAACUCGGUCCAGUGGCAUAAUUAUAGAGGGUAAUUGUCAGGCUUAAGUGUGAGGUGCCUUCCAAAAAGACAGCAGUGUCCCCUCAGUCCUUCUAUGUCCAAACUUUGAAGACUAUCCUAGUCACAGAGCCCUCCAGUUUUCUCAGCUGACCAUGAGAGAAUGUCUAUCAAGCAUCCAGAAAAACAAUGACUUGGUCACUGCUCUCAAAGAACCUACCUAGAGCCUAAGAGAAAAUACUAAGUAUUUUCUCCCUUCUAUUAUUUCACUUAAUUACAGCAACUCUGAGGUAGGCAUGGUUAUUAGCUCCAUCCUACAGGGGAAUAAACUAAGCCUGAGGGAGUAAAUAUUUUGCCCGAAAUCACACAGCCAAUAGGUGAGAGAGCCGGAGCUUGAACCCCGGAAUCUCCAAGUCCUUGGGUAUUGAUGGGCACCCUUUAGACCAGGGAGUCCAUCCUUAAGCUUGCUGUUCCAGUUUUUUAAUCAAAUGAAGGGUCCCCCAUUUCACCGACUUCACUGACUUUCGAUUUCUCUGCUGACCCAGGAUGAAGGGUUUGGGACCUCACGGUCAGGACCAGGCUGUUAGAAGUGAUGGUGCCACCAGCUGGGCUUGGGAGACAGGCCGACCCAUGGGGUCUGCCAGCAAAACCUAUACCGGUUCGCUCAGCGCCUGCGACUGGGACCCCUCCGAGGCCGCCCCGGCCAGCACCCGCCUCCGCCGGCCAGAAAUCCCGACACGCCGCCAGCACAGGCCCGGGGCCGCCGACAGCCACGAGGCCCCGGCCGGCGCGGGCUGCAGGGCAGACGGGGGAGGCGGCCCGCGGGGCCGGGCGAGGGGACGCGGGGGGCCCGUCCGCUGGCGGCCGCGCGCAGACCCCGGCCCAGGCCCGCGCCCCGCGUUCGCCGCGCGCUCGCGGCCGGGCCCGCCUCUCGGCCGUUUUCGCUUUCGCUUUCCUGCCGCUCUCGAUGAGGAAAAUGAAAGUGGCCGUGGCCAGCACCGGGAAGCCGCCGGCUGGGCGAGGGGCGCAGAGCGCGGCGGCGGCCGGCCCGAAGCCGCGGAGCCGAGCAGCCGAGGAGCCGGGAGCCGGGAGCCGGGCCGCAGCCCGCGCCCGGCGAGGUGGCAGCACCUCCUGGGCUUCUCUGAACUCCAGGCAGUCCUGAGGCUGGACUGCAGAGAAUGGAGAAAAUGGUCUCCCUUCUGGAGACGUGAAACUCAGCCACCAGCCAUGGUUUCCUCAUCUGAAAAUAGGACUGAAAAUGAUACCUACCUACCUCAACGGGCACUCUGAGAAUCAAUGUGAUGAUGCAUCCUGCGUAGGGCCCGGCUCAGAGUGGAACCUCGGUGAACGUCAGCUGCGGUGGUGCCAGCGUUUGCAACCUGUUGGAGGAAAACAACAUCAAGCACUGAAUGGUGUGGUGAAUGGACAGGGCAACAGAAUGAGCUCUACUCCACGUGGACAUCUUUGGAAUAGCACACAAGAGUGCCACACUGGUUGCUGAACCACAGCUGUGACUGCAGACUGAGGAGCCGGGGAGGGAAUGGAAGAUAAAGACUGGUAUGCAGUUUAGAAGUGGAGGACAUCCUUUGACAUGGCACUACAGCCAGGGAAGAUCAACCACUGGUCGUGGCAACAGGGGCUGGAAGACACCACGGUCAAGGCUUGUCUGGACCUGAGGACAUCUGAGGGGACAGAAGGACAAAUGCAAAUGACCAUGCAUGGGACUCAGCCCCAUAGGGCGCUGGAGUUUCCGUCCCAGGAUCCCCUCUUCAGGGAUGCCUGUGUUUGUUGAUUAUCUGCCGUAUGCCUGGCCGCUUCAGAAUACAAGGAAUAAAAUGGCCUUUAGCAGUGGCUGAGACAGGACCCUGUGGGAUGUACAAUAAGGAGUCUAAGGCCACAGGAUGAGGCUUUCCUGACUCUGUCCCCUAGAGGGCUGGCGUUUUCUAAGGUUGCAAGCCUGUUUUAUUCAUCCUGAUUUCCCUAGCCUGGAAUAGGCCGUGGAUGACAGUUAAUAAACGUUUGUUGUGUGA